rnacentral:sRNA from 1 species
AUUCUGCCCAAGCGGGGAAGGAUGAGAAGCUUCGACCAAGGUUCGACUUGAGCGCCAGCGAGAGAGCGUUGCCGCAGGCAACGACCGAAGGGCGAAGCGCGCAGCGCUGAGUAAUCCUUCCCCCACCACCA